rnacentral:rRNA from 1 species
AUUGAACGCUGGCGGCAGGCCUAACACAUGCAAGUCGAACGAGUGGCGGACGGGUGAGUAAUGUAUGGGGAACUGCCCGAUAGAGGGGGAUAACUACUGGAAACGGUGGCUAAUACCGCAUACUAUCGGAUGACCCCAUAUGGGAUUAGCUAGUAGGUGGGGUAAAGGCUCACCAAGGCGACGAUCCCUAGCUGGUCUGAGAGGAUGACCAGCCACACUGGAACUGAGACACGGCCCAGACUCCUACGGGAGGCAGCAGUGGGGAAUAUUGCACAAUGGGCGCAAGCCUGAUGCAGCCAUGCCGCGUGUAUGAAGAAGGCCUUAGGGUUGUAAAGUACUUUCAGCGGGGAGGCGUUACCCGCAGAAGAAGCACCGGCUAACUCCGUGCCAGCAGCCGCGGUAAUAC